GAUGAACGCUGGCGGCGUGCCUAAUACAUGCAAGUCGAGCGAACGGACGAGAAGCUUGCUUCUCUGAUGUUAGCGGCGGACGGGUGAGUAACACGUGGAUAACCUACCUAUAAGACUGGGAUAACUUCGGGAAACCGGAGCUAAUACCGGAUAAUAUUUUGAACCGCAUGGUUCAAAAGUGAAAGACGGUCUUGCUGUCACUUAUAGAUGGAUCCGCGCUGCAUUAGCUAGUUGGUAAGGUAACGGCUUACCAAGGCAACGAUGCAUAGCCGACCUGAGAGGGUGAUCGGCCACACUGGAACUGAGACACGGUCCAGACUCCUACGGGAGGCAGCAGUAGGGAAUCUUCCGCAAUGGGCGAAAGCCUGACGGAGCAACGCCGCGUGAGUGAUGAAGGUCUUCGGAUCGUAAAACUCUGUUAUUAGGGAAGAACAUAUGUGUAAGUAACCGUGCACAUCUUGACGGUACCUAAUCAGAAAGCCACGGCUAACUACGUGCCAGCAGCCGCGGUAAUACGUAGGUGGCAAGCGUUAUCCGGAAUUAUUGGGCGUAAAGCGCGCGUAGGCGGUUUUUUAAGUCUGAUGUGAAAGCCCACGGCUCAACCGUGGGAGGGUCAUUGGAAACUGGAAAACUUGAGUGCAGAAGAGGAAAGUGGAAUUCCAUGUGUAGCGGUGAAAUGCGCAGAGAUAUGGAGGAACACCAGUGGCGAAGGCGACUUUCUGGUCUGUAACUGACGCUGAUGUGCGAAAGCGUGGGGAUCAAACAGGAUUAGAUACCCUGGUAGUCCACGCCGUAAACGAUGAGUGCUAAGUGUUAGGGGGUUUCCGCCCCUUAGUGCUGCAGCUAACGCAUUAAGCACUCCGCCUGGGGAGUACGACCGCAAGGUUGAAACUCAAAGGAAUUGACGGGGACCCGCACAAGCGGUGGAGCAUGUGGUUUAAUUCGAAGCAACGCGAAGAACCUUACCAAAUCUUGACAUCCUUUGACAACUCUAGAGAUAGAGCCUUCCCCUUCGGGGGGCAAAGUGACAGGUGGUGCAUGGUUGUCGUCAGCUCGUGUCGUGAGAUGUUGGGUUAAGUCCCGCAACGAGCGCAACCCUUAAGCUUAGUUGCCAUCAUUAAGUUGGGCACUCUAAGUUGACUGCCGGUGACAAACCGGAGGAAGGUGGGGAUGACGUCAAAUCAUCAUGCCCCUUAUGAUUUGGGCUACACACGUGCUACAAUGGACAAUACAAAGGGCAGCGAAACCGCGAGGUCAAGCAAAUCCCAUAAAGUUGUUCUCAGUUCGGAUUGUAGUCUGCAACUCGACUACAUGAAGCUGGAAUCGCUAGUAAUCGUAGAUCAGCAUGCUACGGUGAAUACGUUCCCGGGUCU
rnacentral:rRNA from 1 species